rnacentral:rRNA from 1 species
UACGGAGGGUGCGAGCGUUGUCCGGAUUCAUUGGGCGUAAAGCGCACGUAGGCGGAUUGUUAAGUCAGGGGUGAAAUCCUGGAGCUCAACUCCAGAACUGCCUUUGAUACUGAAGAUCUUGAGUUCGGGAGAGGUGAGUGGAACUGCGAGUGUAGAGGUGAAAUUCGUAGAUAUUCGCAAGAACACCAGUGGCGAAGGCGGCUCACUGGCCCGAUACUGACGCUGAGGCACGAAAGCGUGGGGAGCAAACAGG